rnacentral:rRNA from 1 species
GACGAACGCUGGCGGCGUGCUUAACACAUGCAAGUCGAACGGUAAGGCCCUUCGGGGUACACGAGUGGCGAACGGGUGAGUAACACGUGGGUGAUCUGCCCUGCACUUCGGGAUAAGCCUGGGAAACUGGGUCUAAUACCGGAUAGGACCACUGCCUGCCUGGGCGGUGGUGGAAAGCUUUUGCGGUGUGGGAUGGGCCCGCGGCCUAUCAGCUUGUUGGGGGGGUGAUGGCCUACCAAGGCGACGACGGGUAGCCGGCCUGAGAGGGUGACCGGCCACACUGGGACUGAGAUACGGCCCAGACUCCUACGGGAGGCAGCAGUGGGGAAUAUUGCACAAUGGGCGCAAGCCUGAUGCAGCGACGCCGCGUGAGGGAUGACGGCCUUCGGGUUGUAAACCUCUUUCAGCACCGACGAAGCGCAAGUGACGGUAGGUGCAGAAGAAGGACCGGCCAACUACGUGCCAGCCGCCGCCGUAA